CCUACGGGUGGCAGCAGUGAGGACUAUUGGUCAAUGGACGAGAGUCUGAACCAGCCAAGUAGCGUGAAGGCUGACUGCCCUAUGGGUUGUAAACUUCUUUUAUAUGGGAAUAAAAUGUUCCACGUGUGGGAUUUUGUAUGUACCAUAUGACUAAGGAUCGGCUAACUCCGUGCCAGCAGCCGCGGUAAUACGGAGGAUCCGAGCGUUAUCCGGAUUUAUUGGGUUUAAAGGGAGCGUAGGUGGAUUGUUAAGUCAGUUGUGAAAGUUUGCGGCUCAACCGUAAAAUUGCAGUUGAAACUGGCAGUCUUGAGUACAGUAGAGGUGGGCGGAAUUCGUGGUGUAGCGGUGAAAUGCGUAGAUAUCACGAAGAACUCCGAUUGCGAAGGCAGUUCACUGGACUGCAACGGACACUGAGGCUCGAAAGUGUGGGUAUCAAACAGGAUUAGAUACCCUAGUAGUC
rnacentral:rRNA from 1 species